AUUACAGAGACUUUGCCAGCACACUGCCCUCUAAUUAUCUAGCUGCAGAUGUUGCCUGUGCCACAGAGAUCUUUGUGCGGAGGAGCUCUGAAGAUUUCCUGGGAGGCUGCUAUGCAACAAUGAUCAUGCAUGGACUCCUUCAAGGGACAGGUUUUGGGGAAGCACACAAGGAGACAAUAACAGAUCAUCACACAGAAUUUGUCUUGAGAAGGUCCUAACUGCUGCUGGCUUGCAGGAGCAGGUAACUCAGGCAAGGACAGAGAUGAGGUCAUGGAGCUAUGGUCUACGACAAUGAGGAAGCCUCAGACGAAUGUGCCAUGUGAGGUGGAAUGAAUUCAGCCGUGAGAUGUCCUCUGCAGUGGCGGGGGAAAGAGGCAGAC
ensembl:lncRNA